rnacentral:rRNA from 1 species
GCGCGUAAAUUGCCCGAAUCCUGACACAGGGAGGUAGUGACAAGAAAUAACAAUACAGGGCUACUUUAGUCUUGUAAUUGGAAUGAGUACAAUUUACAUCUCUUCACGAGGAUCAAUUGGAGGGCAAGUCUGGUGCCAGCAGCCGCGGUAAUUCCAGCUCCAAUAGCGUAUAUUAAAGUUGUUGCAGUUAAAACGCUCGUAGUCGGAUUUCGGGGCCUGCCUGCCGGUCUGCCGAUGGGUAUGCACUGGCAGGCGCGUCCUUCCUUCCGGAGACUGUCCCUACUCUUAACUGAGCGGGGUCGGGAGACUGAUCGUUUACUUUGAAAAAAUCAGAGUGUUUCAAGCAGGCAGCUCGCUCUUGCAUGGAUUAGCAUGGGAUAAUGAAAUAGGACUUUGGUGCUAUUUUGUUGGUUUCGAACACCGAAGUAAUGAUUAACAGGGACAGUCAGGGGCACUCGUAUUCC